rnacentral:rRNA from 1 species
AUUGAACGCUGGCGGCAGGCCUAACACAUGCAAGUCGAGCGGAUGAAGGGAGCUUGCUCCUGGAUUCAGCGGCGGACGGGUGGGUAAUGCCCAGGAAUCUGCCUUGUCGUGGGGGAUAACGUCCGGAAACGGGCGCUAAUCUCGCAUACGACCAGAUGUAGAAAGUGGGGGAUCUUCGGACCUCACGCUAUCAGAUGAGCCUAGGUCGGAUUAGCUAGUUGGUGGGGUAAAGGCCUACCAAGGCGGCGAUCCGUAACUGGUCUGAGAGGAUGAUCAGUCACACUGGAACUGAGACACGGUCCAGACUCCUACGGGAGGCAGCAGUGGGGAAUAUUGGGCAAUGGGCGAAAGCCUGAUCCAGCCAUGCCGCGUGUGUGAUGAAGGUCUUCGGAUUGUAAAGCGCUGUAAGUUGGGAGGAAGGACAGUAAGUUAAUACCUGGCUGUUUUGACGUUACCAACAGAAUAAGCACCGGCUAACUUCGUG